UCAUAGAUUUGGCCUAACCAGUAUACACUGUGUUGUGUGCACGUUUUUAAUUUUUUCUUUUUUUGCAUUUCAUGUUCAUAGUUUAACAGCACCCGUUCGCCCUCCCCCACUGAAUGUUGCCACAUGACCCCGUGGAGUAGAAAGUCCCAUCCCCCAGAGGAUGAAGAUACAGAUGUCAUGUUAGGGCAGAGGCCGAAAAACCCAAUACACAAUAUCCCUUCUACACUGGACAAGCAGACCAACUGGAGCAAAGCACUACCUCUCCCGACGCCAGAGGAGAAGAUGAAACAAGAUGCCCAAGUGAUUUCUUCUUGCAUUAUUCCCAUCAAUGUCACUGGAGUUGGCUUUGACAGAGAGGCUAGUAUACGCUGCUCUCUGGUUCAUUCACAAUCGGUACUACAGCGGAGAC
rnacentral:sRNA from 1 species